GGCCUCGGAGCUCAGCUGGUAGAGCGUGCGCUGUACACAAAACGUAGGCAGCAACCAUGCGUGGGUUCGAAUCCCACCGAGGCCA
rnacentral:tRNA from 1 species